GGGGCAAGCGUUGUUCGGAAUUAUUGGGCGUAAAGGGCGCGUAGGCGGUUUGACAAGUCUGAUGUGAAAUCUCUGGGCUCAACCCAGAGUCUGCAUUAGAAACUGUCGGGCUUGAGUAUGGGAGAGGUGAGUGGAAUUUCCGGUGUAGCGGUGAAAUGCGUAGAUAUCGGAAGGAACACCUGUGGCGAAAGCGGCUCACUGGACCAUAACUGACGCUGAGGCGCGAAAGCUAGGGGAGCAAACAGG
rnacentral:rRNA from 1 species